rnacentral:sRNA from 1 species
UCAUCACACAGGCCGAAUCCUGCAAAGCAGGUACGGGGGACGCUUUUGCGCAGCAAACCUGCGCUUGGGGUGAAAGCGACUUAUGUCGCAAGGAUGACCUCGACCCAAACCCGACAACUAACCUCGAAGGCCACAGGAGGAAAACAU